GACGAACGCUGGCGGCGUGCUUAACACAUGCAAGUCGAACGGAAAGGCCCUGCUUUUGUGGGGUGCUCGAGUGGCGAACGGGUGAGUAACACGUGAGUAACCUGCCCUUGACUUUGGGAUAACUUCAGGAAACUGGGGCUCAUACCCGAUAGGAGCUCCUGCUGCAUGGUGGGGGUUGGAAAGUGUCGGCGGUUGUGGAUGGACUCGCGGCUCAUCAGCUUGUUGGUGGGGUAGUGGCUUACCAAGGCUUUGACGGGUAGCCGGCCUGAGAGGGUGACCGGCCACAUUGGGACUGAGAUACGGCCCAGACGCCUACGGGAGGCAGCAGUGGGGAAUAUUGCACAAUGGGCGGAAGCCUGAUGCAGCAACGCCGCGUGCGGGAUGACGGCCUUCGGGUUGUAAACCGCUUUCGCCUGUGACGAAGCGUGAGUGACGGUAAUGGGUAAAGAAGCACCGGCUAACUACGUG
rnacentral:rRNA from 1 species